GACGUAGGGCGCGAGCGUUGUCCGGAUUGAUUGGGCGUAAAGAGUUCGUAGGCGGCUCGUUGCGUCGGCUGUGAAAACCCGCAGCUCAACUGUGGGCCUGCAGCUGAUACGGGCGGGCUGGAGGCCAGUAGGGGGAUGCGGAAUUCCGGGUGUAGUGGUGGAAUGCGUAGAGAUCCGGAGGAACACCAGCGGCGAAGGCGGCAUCCUGGACUGGUCCUGACACUCAGGAGCGAAAGCGUGGGGAGCGAUCCGG
rnacentral:rRNA from 1 species